UACGAAGGAUGCAAGCGUUAUCCGGAUUCAUUGGGCUUAAAGGGAGCGUAGGCGGCCUGAUAAGUCAGUGGUGAAAUCUCUCGGCUUAACCGAGAAAUUGCCAUUGAUACUGUUAGGCUUGAGUAUAGUUGCCGUUGGCGGAAUAUGACAUGUAGUGGUGAAAUACAUAGAGAUGUCAUAGAACACCGAUUGCGAAGGCAGCUAACGAAACUAUAACUGACACUGAGGCUCGAAAGUGCGGGGAUCAAACAGG
rnacentral:rRNA from 1 species